rnacentral:rRNA from 1 species
GAGUUUGAUCGUGGCUCAGGAUGAACGCUGGCGGCGUGCCUAAUACAUGCAAGUCGAACGAACAGAUAAGGAGCUUGCUCCUUUGACGUUAGCGGCGGACGGGUGAGUAACACGUGGGUAACCUACCUAUAAGACUGGAAUAACUCCGGGAAACCGGGGCUAAUGCCGGAUAACAUGUUGAACCGCAUGGUUCUACAGUGAAAGACGGUCUUGCUGUCACUUAUAGAUGGACCCGCGCCGUAUUAGCUAGUUGGUGGGGUAACGGCCUACCAAGGCGACGAUACGUAGCCGACCUGAGAGGGUGAUCGGCCACACUGGAACUGAGACACGGUCCAGACUCCUACGGGAGGCAGCAGUAGGGAAUCUUCCGCAAUGGGCGAAAGCCUGACGGAGCAACGCCGCGUGAGUGAUGAAGGUCUUCGGAUCGUAAAGCUCUGUUGUUAGGGAGGAACAAAUGUGUAAGUAACUGUGCAUAUCUUGACGGUACCUAACCAGAAAGCCACGGCUAACUACGUGCCAGCCG